rnacentral:lncRNA from 1 species
GACCAUUUAGGUUCAUUGAAGUGGUCACAAUUGUAAUAUUCCUUUCUCUCAUUCUUAUUGCAAAUGUAGCCACACCACCUCCAAUAUCGAGUCCAAUUCUAAUUGUUCCUGGUUUCUUUACUGCUAACACUUCUUCAAUAGAGAAGUCGAGACGAGUACCAGUUUUCGCUGUCCAACGCGAUUUCUCUUUGCCAUUUAGAUCGAAACAAUCUUUACAAUCAUCAAAUCCUCUCUGAUUUCUAACGCGAUUGA